CAGCAGCCGCGGUAAUACGAAGGGGGCUAGCGUUGCUCGGAAUCACUGGGCGUAAAGGGUGCGUAGGCGGGUUUUUAAGUCAGAGGUGAAAUCCUGGAGCUCAACUCCAGAACUGCCUUUGAUACUGGAAAUCUUGAGUAUGGGAGAGGUGAGUGGAACUGCGAGUGUAGAGGUGAAAUUCGUAGAUAUUCGCAAGAACACCAGUGGCGAAGGCGGCUCACUGGCCCAUAACUGACGCUGAGGCACGAAAGCGUGGGGAGCAAACAGGAUUAGAUACCCCCGUAGUCCCUGUCUCUUAUAC
rnacentral:rRNA from 1 species